rnacentral:lncRNA from 1 species
CUGAGCCCCUUAAACUACAUCAAACCGCCACCUGACCCAGGCCUCUCCUUUUCCCUCAACUGUGUGUGUGUGUGUGUGCGUGUGUGUAUGCGUGCGCGUGUGUGUGUGUGUGUGCGCGUGUGUGUGUGUGCAUUCGUGUGUAGUAUGGCUUCGUGUGCACAUAUGUGUAUAUGGCUCUUUGUGUGUGUGUGCAUGUGUGUGUAUGGUUCGCUGUGUGUGUGCGUGUGUGUAUGUGUAUAUGUGUGUUUAUGGCUCUGUGUGUGUCUGUGCAUGUGUGUGUGCAUGGCUUGCUGUGUGUGUGUGUGUGUGUCUGUGCAUGUGUGUGUGUGUGUGUAUGUGUAUAUGUGUGUUUAUGGCUCUGUGUGUGUCUGUGCGUGUGUGUGUGUGUGUGUAUGGCUUGCUGUGUGUGCUUGUGUAUAUGUGUGUUUAUGGCUCUGUGUGUGUCUGUGCAUGUGUGUGUGUGUGUGUAUGGCUCUGUGUGUGUGUGUGUAUUUGUGUGUGUAUGGCUCUGUGUGUGUCUGUGCAUGUGUGUGUAUGUGUAUGGCUCUGUGUGUUUGUGUAUUUGUGUGUGUAUGGCUCUGUGUGUGUCUGUGCAUGUGUGUGUAUGUGUAUGGCUCUGUGUGUGUGUGUAUUUGUGUGUGUAUGGCUCUGUGUGUGUCUGUGCAUGUGUGUGUAUGUGUAUGGCUCUGUGUGUGUGUGUAUUUGUGUGUGUAUGGCUCUGUGUGUGUCUGUGCAUGUGUGUGUAUGUGUAUGGCUCUGUGUGUGUCUGUGCAUGUGUGUGUAUGGCUUGCUGUGUGUGCUUGUGUGACUGACUGGACUAGAGCGAUCACGCCAGCAUUCCGGGAAGCUGAUGAGUUUUCCGUGUGUGUGUGUGUGUGUGUGUGUGUGUGUGUGUGUGUGUGUGUGUGUGUGUGUCACCCGACUCCUGCUGGAUCCCAGACUGAUGAGGUGUCCACGGAGACGGAUUUAAUCCCUUAUCUCCUCCCGCGCCCAGACCAGUCUCCAGGUCAAAGGGAUUGGAGAUGUCAGAGACACAGAUAUGGAUC